UGGAAAUGACCCACAGCCAAGCAAGCUGAGAAGACUGUCAUUAUUUAGUGCCUGAACUCUAAAGCGGGUUCAGAGCCGACAGUGUAGCUAAUGAUGGGAAGUGGUUAAUGAUGGGUCAAUGAUGGGAUAUGACUAAUGAAGGGGAAAGGAUUGCAGAACUGCAAAGUCACCGAGUGCACUGCACAGCAGAUAAAAACUCUCAAUAAACACAAUAACAGCAAAAAGAGUCUCUGGCAUGUCACUACUGCAAUAUGCACACCUUGAGUACCAGUGGUAAUCUGUUGGCUCUCCUGCUUAACAGCUAGCAAUGAUCAGACCAUCUACUAGACCUUAAGACAGAUCGUGGAGUGUUUUAUUGUUACACUGCCACCUCUGGAAGAUGUCUCAUCAGUCCACUGGGAAGAAUAAGGAAGCAGAGCAGGGAGUUGAAUGUCUAAUUAAACUGACGGAAGGUAUGUACUCAGCUCUGCAGAGACCCCUUGGGAGACAAAAGCAAGGAAAGAGGUGCUCAGUGCCCUUACAGGCCUGGGUUUUACCUUCGCUUUGUUUGUACCCUCAAAAACAUGGAAGGAUGUCUUGCUGUGUAGAUCUGGAAAUCUGAUAAUGUUAAUGUUUUGUUUCAUAACAAAAAUGGAGGCAUGGUAGAGAUAGACUUGAGGAGUGACUUCAUGCUUAGCACAGCUUGUUAUUUUAAAUGUCAGUCUCUUAGGGGAGGUUCCCAUGCCAACAAUUUUCUUCAGAGGUUAGACACUAUGAAAGUGGGUGAACACACACCCAACGGGUAAAUCAGUCAACCCUCCACCUUCAUAAAAAAGAGCAAAAAGCUUACGAAAAUGCACUAAUAAGUAGAGCAAACAGCUGGGAAACAGCAAGAAGGACAUUUUAUUUAAAACUGGAUAAAAAAACAAACUGUCACAAAAGAGUUGCUGCACUUCUAUGCAGCAUGCCACACCUAGGAGACCAAACAGCAACAUUAUCAUCUAUACCUAUUUAUUCAAGGCAGGGAUCUGACCUUUCCAGGCUCAUUUGUUUCCACAAACUUUGGUCAUGCUACUCAUGACUGCUCAUAUUCAUAAGACUUGCAGGAUUGGAACAUCAAAUAAUUGCUGAUAAUGUAAAGAAAGCGUGAUAGGAGGAACAAUACUGUUUCUUACUAUGUGAUUAUCUGUUUUUCUUUCUCUGAGAAAUCACUUCAAUUAUUCUGAUCAUUUUCCUGUCAAAGGUACAUUUUUAAAUUGGCCACUGCACUUCCACAGACAGAAAGCUUUUCUGUGAUCUUUGCAACAAAUCUUAAUGAAUACAUUAAACCGGGUACUAUAGUUCUCCUGAAUAAUAUUACUGUAAUUAUUUUGUUCCAGGUUUGUCAAUGUCCACCCAAUCAUCCUCUCAGUUGUACGGAGGAAAUGCCACCCUGCAGGUUGAACAACAGAUCAGACUGCUUCACGGGUUGGGUGGCUUCAGUCUUGUCACUUGACCCCAAAA